AUGGAUAAAAUGCGUCUCCUUUGUCUCUACUAGAAAAUGAAAGGAAUUGAAAUUAAGAGAAGAGAAGGAGUGAAGGGUGGCACCAAGAUUGAAAGGAGAAAGAGGUUGAGGGAUAGUGAGAGAGGUUGGAGAAGAGAGUAAAAGGAGGCCACUUACCCAAUUUAAAAUUGGUGAGAUGUUCCUUGGGCUGGUUGGUCUGAGGACCCGAGGUCAUAGGUGGAUCUCUUCAUGGAGUGAGGGUGAGGACAGGAGACGGUCUCCUGAAGGAGUCCUGCUGACCUGGGUCUUUGGCACCAAAUGUCUCAUGCAUCCAUGUGAAAAGACCACCAAACAGGGUUUGUGUGAGCAACAAGGCUGUUUAUUUCACCUGGGUGCAGAUGGGUUGAGUCCAAAAAGAGAGUCAGCCCAGUCUAUAUCUUUUAAAUGGGAAAAUUCAAUCUAUUUACAUGCAACAUUAUUCUUGAUGGUACCACUGGGUUAGGGUCUCCCCAACCAAGCUGGUCUGAGCAAGUGGUUUCCAUCAUGGGGUCUCGAAUCCAGGUUGAAGGGUCACUGGAGCGAUGCUUGGAGAACAUGGAACUAGCUGGAGGACACCUGAGUACUCUUAAGGCAAUCCCCAUGGCCAAAAUCAAUAACUGAUUUGGAUACCAUCAAGAAACCUGAAACCUUAUCAUGAGCCAGAUGCCGAGGAAGAGAUUCCAGGAGGAUCCCGAGGACCCCCUGGUUGCACCCAUGUCAAGGCUGACACUGAGGAGGACCCCAACUGUCAUGAGCAACACCCAUUGAACACAGCCACCCACCUGGGGACAAAUCAAGAAGCUGUCACAGAUGGUGGAAGAAAACCUGAGGAAAGCGGGACAACCAGUCACAAUGAGUAAUUUGGUGAUCUAUCAUAGUGAUGAUCACCAUUGCCAUGAGUAUUCCUUCAACAAGGGCUGACACAGAGAACAAUUAUACUUAUUGGGCAUAUUUAUCAAUCUUGUCUGGCAAUAAUGCCUAGAUGAUUUCACUCUAUGACACAGUUACACAUGCUUUCUGAUCUCAGUAUUUACCAUAAUAAAUCUGCUCCUAUACUUGAGGCAUACCACCCUCAAAAACCUAUUUGUAAACAAAAUAGCACCUGGCCAGAAAUAAUGAACAACUUGUUUAGUAAGAUUGCAUUGCAGAACAGGCAGAGAUGUUAUGCAACUAUUCCUAUGGAAUCAUUGAUUGGUCCCCUAAGGGGAUGUUUAGCUUAAAUUGCACCUCUCAGUCUGCAUGCCACGGCCACACUAGUUCAUUUGGUCUGAACAAAGUGGUCAGAUGGCAGAAAUGAUAAGAAGUAUGGCAAAAGUUCCUAUUGUCUGGAACCAUGGCAGUAUAGUGUCACCUCAACCUCAAAUGAUAUGGCUCAUUGUAGGAGCUAAACAUAAGGAUUUGUGGAAACUAUUAAUAGCUCCUAAUAAGAUCAAAAUUUGAGAAAGAAUAAAAAAGCAUCUAGAAAGACACUCUACAAACUUGUCUUUGGAUAUUGCAAAAUUAAAAGAACAAAUAUUUAAAGCAUCCCAGGUACACCUGACCUUAAUGACAGGAACUGGAGUGCUUGAAGGAGCUGCAGACAGAUUAGCAGCUAGUAACCCAUUAAAAUGGAUAAAAACACUUGGAAGCUCUGUGAUUUCAAUGAUGAUUGUGCUUUUAAUCUGUGUUGUUUGUCUUUGUAUAGUGUGCAGAUGUGGAUCCUGACUCCUGCGAGAAGUAGCUCACAGUGUCAAAGCUGCCUUUGCUUUUAUCGAUUUGCAAAUCAAAGAAGGGGGACAUGUUGGGAACAGGCCCCCCCCCCAAAAUCUGGCCAUAAACUGGUCCCAAAACUGGCCAUAAACAAAAUCUCUGCAGCACUGUGACAUGUUCAUGAUGGUUUUAACGCCCAUGCUGGAAGGUCGUGGGUUUACCAGAAUGAAGGCAAGGAACACCUGGCCUACCCAGGGUGGAAAAUCGCUUAAAGGCAUUCUUAAACCACAAACAAUAGCAUGAGUGAUCUGUGCCUUAAGGCCGUGCUACUGCUGCAGAUAACUAGCCCAACCCAUCCCUUUAUUUCAGCCCAUCCCUUCAUUUCCCAUAAGGGAUACUUUUAAUUAAUCUAAUAUCUAUAGAAAAAAUGCUAAUGACUGGCUUGCUGUUAAUAAAUACGUGGGUAAAUCUCUGUUGGAGGCUCUCAGCUCUGAAGGCUGUGAGACCCCUGAUUUCCCAGUUCACACCUCUGU